GCACUGCUGAGUAGUCCCACAAUAGGACGAAACGAUCGUCUCGUGC
rnacentral:hammerhead_ribozyme from 1 species